ensembl:lncRNA
CCUGGGUGCAAAGAGGACAGGUGACAGCAGUGUUCCUCCCUGUGUUGUUCCUAUACCACCAGCAUUUGGGUUAGCAGCAACACACGCACACAUGAGCAUGCAGCAAAGAGGCAACAGCUGCUUCUCGCUGGCCCAGAUUGGGAUUUUAAUUAAGGAGAAGAUUUGGGGGAAUAAAGGGGGGAAAUCAUUCUGAAAGCUUUAAUUAAAGAAGCUCAGGGCGAGGCAGGGUGAUGGGAAGGGAUGCAUCCUGCUGUGGCUGGGGAGGGUGAGUUCUGACCCCAUUGGGACACGCAGCGUGGAGGGGAUGGGGCGGCCCCUGUGCACCCCCUGGAUUGAGAUGCUGCAGAUCUCCAGUGAGACCCAAAGGCAGACCCCCAGAGAAGCAGAAAUGGUCAAUAAUGCUGGGUGUGAAAUGCCAUAUCAAAGCCACGCAGGGUUGGUUGGAAGUGAGACUGUAAGUGCUGCAAGGAGGAAGAGCUGCUUGGAAGGUGCGAGAGGAGCACAGCUGAACCCAACCCCUGCCACAAAGUGUGGGCACCUGUGUCGGGAACACAGCUGGACUAAACUCCUGCAGCACAAAGACUCCACGAAGUGCCUUUCCAAAGGGCAAGAGCCCACCUUCAUCAGAGGCCACAGCCAAAGGAGAGAGGUUUGGACCCCAUCCUGACACCCAGAACUGGGGUUGCAUCCUUGGACGUGUGAGAUGCAGCCAUGUGCCCAGGGCUGGGGCUUCUCUGUCACCAGUAAAUGGGGUUUGGGAGAGAAAAGUGCCACGUCAGUCCCACAAAGGCCCCCAGCAGGCCAUCACCCCCUGCUUGCUCCAGGCUCCCCAGACCUCUGAUGUGCACACAGAAAGCUGUUGGGCUCCAGGACCCAAAUGAAGCCAGGGAGAAGAUUCCAGUGCUGUUUUAAAGCAAUUUUCCUUUUCCCUGGCACGUUUGCCAUUGCACAGCUCCAGCUCAUUCCUCAGCUCCGAGGCCGUGCAGGACCUGUUGCAAGUAGAGAUGCUGUGGGGGGAGCUUUGCUGAGGGUCUCUGCAACCCAGGGAAUUCCAAACCUAUUGCAUCACUCCUCUGAGCAUUGCACACCUCAAUCCCAGGCUGCAGCUUUCAUCUUAAGCAAUCACGUACAAAGUGUCGUUUUGCAUAAGAAGAAAGGAGCACGUCACUCUAGAAGUGAUCUCAUCAUCCCUGAGCCCGGAGUUACACCGAGCAAAGCAAAGCUGCUAUCGAGGGAACUGCUUUGGUCUCAUCAAGGUUCCCACCUCCUCCACCCCAAAGCAGCUCCGAGAUGCAAAUCAAGCACAAAAGCCACCCGGGCUCCUCCGCAGCCCUCUGCCCACGUGCCUGGAAGGCAGCAGCCGGCGCCAGCGCCGCGUGGUGUGCGCAGAAAGGUUAACGCAGUGUGCAAUGGGCCGGGGGCACUGCGUGGGGCUGGGCGGCUCUGGGCAAAGCUGGAGGGUCCCGCGUGGGAGGUGACCUCUGUGGGGACCCCAACACCUCCCUGAUGUGCUUGCUUCAAUCCUCGAUAUUUUCAGGCUUUGCACUGCUCUCCUCCUCUGGCCCCCACGUUUCACCCCCCCCCCACCUCUGCAAAAGCAGCAGGAAGGCGGAGCUGGGAGCUGCACCUGCUGGGCAGGGUGGGAGCUUUCACCCGACCUCUCCUUGUGCUUUGCUUUGGGGUCCUGUGCACCGAGUCGCCCUGGUUUCCCAGCACCCCAACACGGGGCAUUUGCUGUUGGCCCCGCUGCAAGUCCCGGGGCAGGCAGCAGAAAGCAGCUCCAGAAAUGUACAGGCUUUGGGCCCAUUGCCCGUGUGUGGGCUGGGCUUGCAAAGCAGAUGGAGAGAAGGGGCUUGGAGGUGCUUCACUCAAGACAGGGGUGAAAACAGUGCGAAACCUGUAAACUUGUAUUUAUAUAAUGGCCGAUUAUCAGGGAGACCACCCGGAUGUCCACGGUUAAACCAGAGCUCUGCUCACCCCAAAACAAAGCACCCACGUUCUGCAUCCAGAGCAGUACCAGCAGAUGCAUCCUCAGCAGCUCCUGUGGGCAGCACAGCCCUUCCCACCCCCUGCGGACCUAACUUUGAGGCCAUUCCUCCCCAGUGGGCUGCACCAGGCACCCCAGGGGCCAGCUGGGAUGAUUUCAGGGCCGCUCAGCUGCCUGGCUGGGGGUGGGGAAGGUAAUCCAUAUUGCUGAGGUCUCAUUGGUAUUCUGCAGUUUCAGCUCAUUAGCCCUUAGGUGCUAUCAGAGCGAGAGCAUUGGAAGUUUCUGGGCUGAGACAGCUAUUAGGAGAGGAUGGAACGCAUCUCACACAACCCGAUGCCCUGCAAGAGCUCACUGAUUUACGCUAUCGAUCUUGAAGGUGCCCACACGCUGCCUGAACCUAAAAAAACCCAACCCUGCCCUACAUACAGCCCCAGCCACCUUCAGAAAAGAGGGGAAGGGAAGGGAAGGGAAGGGAAGGGAAGGGAAGGGAAGGCUGAGGAAAAUAGAUAACCCAGAGAGCUCCCUGCAAUAGGCUCUCCAGGAGCACCACCAGCUCCCAGUAUAACCAGCGAGGGCUGAUGGGGGCACUGGGUACCCAUCACAGCCAGCUCAGCACAGGGCAGGGCCAGAUGCCACCCCCCCCCAGUGCCACUUCUGCUCUCCUGGGCUGGCUGAGGUGUGAUGA